rnacentral:rRNA from 1 species
GUGGGGAAUCUUGCGCAAUGGGCGAAAGCCUGACGCAGCCAUGCCGCGUGAAUGAUGAAGGUCUUAGGAUUGUAAAAUUCUUUCACCGGGGACGAUAAUGACGGUACCCGGAGAAGAAGCUCCGGCUAACUUCGUGCCAGCAGCCGCGGUAAUACGAAGGGGGCUAGCGUUGCUCGGAAUUACUGGACGUAAAGGGCGCGUAGGCGGACAGCUUAGUCAGAGGUGAAAGCCCAGGGCUCAACCUUGGAAUUGCCUUUGAUACUGGCUGUCUUGAGUUUGGGAGAGGUGAGUGGAACUCCGAGUGUAGAGGUGAAAUUCGUAGAUAUUCGGAAGAACACCAGUGGCGAAGGCGACUCACUGGCCCAAUACUGACGCUGAGGUGCGAAAGCGUGGGGAGCAAACAGGAUUAGAAACCCCAGUAGUCC